rnacentral:rRNA from 1 species
CAGCCGCCGCGGUAAUUCCGGCGGCCCGAGUGGCGGUCACUAUUAUUGGGCUUAAAGCGUCCGUAGCCGGGUUGGGAAGUCCUCCGGGAAAUCUGGCCGCUUAACGGUCAGAAUGCCGGAGGAUACUCCCAGCCUAGGGAGCGGGAGAGGCCGAGGGUAUUCCCGGAGUAGGGGGGAAAUCCUAUAAUCCCGGGAGGACCACCUGUGGCGAAGGCGCUCGGCUGGAACGCGUCCGACGGUGAGGGACGAAGGCCAGGGGAGCAAACCGGAUUAGAUACCCGGGUAGUCCUGGCUGUAAACGAUGCGGACUUUGUGUCGGACAAGCUAUGAGCUUGUCCGGUGCCGGAGGGAAACCGUUAAGUCCGCCGCCUGGGGAGUACGGCCGCAAGGCUGAAACUUAAAGGAAUUGGCGGG